rnacentral:rRNA from 1 species
AACGAACGCUGGCGGCAGCCCUUACACAUGCAAGUCGAGCGCACCUUCGGGUGAGCGGCGGACGGGUUAGUAACGCGUGGGAACGUGCCCUUCUCUACGGAAUAGCCUCUGGAAACGGAGAGUAAUACCGUAUACGCCCUUUGGGGGAAAGAUUUAUCGGAGAAGGAUCGGCCCGCGUUAGAUUAGGUAGUUGGUGGGGUAACGGCCUACCAAGCCUACGAUCUAUAGCUGGUUUUAGAGGAUGAUCAGCAACACUGGGACUGAGACACGGCCCAGACUCCUACGGGAGGCAGCAGUGGGGAAUCUUAGACAAUGGGGGCAACCCUGAUCUAGCCAUGCCGCGUGAGUGAUGAAGGCCUUAGGGUCGUAAAGCUCUUUCGCCUGUGAUGAUAAUGACAGUAGCAGGUAAAGAAACCCCGGCUAACUCCGUG